rnacentral:rRNA from 1 species
UGGUAAGGUAAUGGCUUUCCACGGCUAUGACGGGUAGGGGACACGAGAGGGUGGCCCCCCACAAUGGAACUGAAACACGGUCCAUACACCUACGGGUGGCAGCAGUAGGGAAUAUUAGUAAUGGGCGAAAGCCUGAACUAGCAACGCCGCGUGUGCGAAGAAGGCCUUCGGGUUGUAAAGCACUUUUAGAGAGGAUGAGGAAGGACGGUACUCUCAGAAUAAGUCCGGCUAACUACGUGCCAGCAGCCGCGGUAACACGUAGGAGGCGAACGUUAUCCGGAUUUACUGGGCGUAAAGCGCGUGUAGGUGGUUUGGUAAGUAGGGCGUGAAAGCUCCCGGCUCAACUGGGAGAGGCCGUUCUAAACUGCCAAGCUAGAGGAUGGUAGAGGGAGGUGGAAUUCCGGGUGUAGCGGUGGAAUGCGCAGAUAUCCGGAGGAACACCAGUGGGGAAGGCGGCCUCCUGGGCCACUCCUGACACUCAGACGCGAAAGCUAGGGUAGCAAACGGGAUUAGAGACCCCGGUAGUCCUAGCCCUAAACGAUGUAGACUGGCGUCGGUGGUUUAGACGCCAUCGGUGU